UACGGAGGGUGCAAGCGUUAAUCGGAGUUACUGGGCGUAAAGCGUGCGCAGGCGGUUAUGCAAGACAGAUGUGAAAUCCCCGGGCUCAACCUGGGAACUGCAUUUGUGACUGCAUGGCUAGAGUACGGUAGAGGGGGAUGGAAUUCCGCGUGUAGCAGUGAAAUGCGUAGAUAUGCGGAGGAACACCGAUGGCGAAGGCAAUCCCCUGGACCUGUACUGACGCUCAUGCACGAAAGCGUGGGGAGCAAACAGG
rnacentral:rRNA from 1 species